GAUAUUUAAAAACAAGAGCCGAAAAUUACCGAGGACUUUCUCCGCUUAAUAACCCGGGACUGAAGAGGUGAGGCGCUGGAGUGUUUCUCCUCCUGGUGUGUGAAUGGGUGGGGGGGUCUUUCGUGGUGAAGAAGAAUCUACGAUUGAAGUCAACACAGAACGCUCCAGUUUAAUGGCUGGCAGGUAGAGG